UACGUAGGUGGCAAGCGUUGUCCGGAAUUAUUGGGCGUAAAGCGCGCGCAGGCGGUUUCAUAAGUCUGUCUUAAAAGUGCGGGGCUUAACCCCGUGAGGGGAUGGAAACUAUGGAACUGGAGUAUCGGAGAGGAAAGCGGAAUUCCUAGUGUAGCGGUGAAAUGCGUAGAUAUUAGGAAGAACACCAGUGGCGAAGGCGGCUUUCUGGACGACAACUGACGCUGAGGCGCGAAAGCCAGGGGAGCGAACGGGAUUAGAUACCCCGGUAGUCCUGGCCGUAAACGAUGGGUACUAGGUGUAGGAGGUAUCGACCCCUUCUGUGCCGGAGUUAACGCAAUAAGUACCCCGCCUGGGGAGUACGGUCGCAAGGCUGAA
rnacentral:rRNA from 1 species